AACGAACGCUGGCGGCAUGCCUAACACAUGCAAGUCGAACGAGACCUUCGGGUCUAGUGGCGCACGGGUGCGUAACGCGUGGGAACCUGCCCUUAGGUUCGGAAUAACUCCCCGAAAGGGGUGCUAAUACCGGAUAAUGUCUUCGGCCCAAAGAUUUAUCGCCUUUGGAUGGGCCCGCGUUGGAUUAGCUAGUUGGUAGGGUAAAAGCCUACCAAGGCGACGAUCCAUAGCUGGUCUGAGAGGAUGGUCAGCCACACUGGGACUGGGACACGGCCCAGACUCCUACGGGAGGCAGCAGUGGGGAAUAUUGGACAAUGGGCGAAAGCCUGAUCCAGCAAUGCCGCGUGAGUGAUGAAGGCCUUAGGGUUGUAAAGCUCUUUUACCCGGGAUGAUAAUGACAGUACCGGGAGAAUAAGCUCCGGCUAACUCCGUG
rnacentral:rRNA from 1 species